rnacentral:rRNA from 1 species
CUGGCUCAGGAUGAACGCUGGCGGCGUGCCUAACACAUGCAAGUCGAACGGGGUAUAUAAGCGGAAGUUUACGGAUGGAAGGUUAUAUACUUAGUGGCGGACGGGUGAGUAACGCGUGGGCAACCUGCCCCGUGCCGGGGGAUACCGCCUGGAAACAGGCGCUAAUACCGCAUAAGCGCAUACAGCCGCAUGGGUGUAUGCGGAAAGCUCCGGCGGCACGGGAUGGGCCCGCGCCCGAUUAGCCAGUUGGCGGGGUAACGGCCCACCAAAGCGACGAUCGGUAGCCGGCCUGAGAGGGCGGACGGCCACAUUGAGACUGAGACACGGCCCAAACUCCUACGGGAGGCAGCAGUGGGGAAUAUUGCACAAUGGGGGAAACCCUGAUGCAGCAACGCCGCGUGGGUGAAGGAGCGUUUCGGCGCGUAAAGCCCUGUCAGCGGGGAAGAAGAGAGACGGUAUCCGACCAAGAAGCCCCGGCUAACUACGUGCCAGCAGCCGCGGUAAUACGUAGGGGGCGAGCGUUAUCCGGAAUUACUGGGUGUAAAGGGAGCGUAGACGGCGAGGUAAGCCUGAAGUGGAAGCCCGCGGCCCAACCGCGGAACUGCUUUGGGAACUGUUUUGCUGGAGUAUGGGAGGGGUAAGCGGAAUUC